rnacentral:rRNA from 1 species
GAUGAACGCUAGCGAUAGGCCUAACACAUGCAAGUCGAGGGGCAGCGGGGUAGCAAUACCGCCGGCGACCGGCGCACGGGUGAGUAACACGUAUGCAACCUACCCAUAACUGGGGGAUAGCCCGUCGAAAGACGGAUUAAUACCGCAUAACACAGGGGCUCCACAUGGAGAUAUUUGUUAAAGAUUUAUUGGUUAUGGAUGGGCAUGCGCAGGAUUAGGUAGUUGGUGAAGGUAACGGCUCACCAAGCCAUCGAUCCUUAGGGGAACUGAGAGGUUAAUCCCCCACACUGGUACUGAGACACGGACCAGACUCCUACGGGAGGCAGCAGUGAGGAAUAUUGGUCAAUGGACGAGAGUCUGAACCAGCCAAAUCGCGUGAAGGAAGACGGUAUUAUGUAUUGUAAACUUCUUUUAUCAGGGAAUAAAGUGCGGCACGUGUGCUGUUUUGUAUGUACCUGAUGAAUAAG